GGCUCAGGACGAACGCUGGCGGCGUGCUUAACACAUGCAAGUCGAACGAUGAAGCCCUUCGGGGUGGGAUUAGUGGCGAACGGGUGAGUAACACGNUGGGCAAUCUGCCCUUCACUCUGGGACAAGCCCUGGAAACGGGGUCUAAUACCGGAUAACACUCUGUCCCGCAUGGGACGGGGUUAAAAGCUCCGGCGGUGAAGGAUGAGCCCGCGGCCUAUCAGCUUGUUGGUGGGGUAAUGGCCUACCAAGGCGACGACGGGUAGCCGGCCUGAGAGGGCGACCGGCCACACUGGGACUGAGACACGGCCCAGACUCCUACGGGAGGCAGCAGUGGGGAAUAUUGCACAAUGGGCGAAAGCCUGAUGCAGCGACGCCGCGUGAGGGAUGACGGCCUUCGGGUUGUAAACCUCUUUCAGCAGGGAAGAAGCGAAAGUGACGGUACCUGCAGAAGAAGCGCCGGCUAACUACGUGCCAGCAGCCGCGGUAAUACGUAGGGCGCAAGCGUUGUCCGGAAUUAUUGGGCGUAAAGAGCUCGUAGGCGGCUUGUCACGUCGGAUGUGAAAGCCCGGGGCUUAACCCCGGGUCUGCAUUCGAUACGGGCUAGCUAGAGUGUGGUAGGGGAGAUCGGAAUUCCCUGGUGUAGGCGGUGAAAUGCGCAGAUAUCAGGAGGAACCACCCGGUGGCGAAGGCGGAUCUCUGGGCCAUUACUGACGCUGAGGAGCGAAAGCGUGGGGAGCGAACAGGAUUAGAUACCCUGGUAGUCCACGCCGUAAACGUUGGGAACUAGGUGUUGGCGACAUUCCACGUCGUCGGUGCCGCAGCUAACGCAUUAAGUUCCCCGCCUGGGGAGUACGGCCGCAAGGCUAAAACUCAAAGGAAUUGACGGGGGGCCCGCACAAGCAGCGGAGCAUGUGGCUUAAUUUCGACGCAACGCGAAGAACCUUACCCAAGGCUUGACAUAUACCGGNAAAG
rnacentral:rRNA from 1 species